rnacentral:rRNA from 1 species
GGGAACUGGGUCUAAUACCGGAUAGGAGCCAUCUUUAGUGUGGUGGUUGGAAAGUUUUUCGGUGUAGGAUGAGCUCGCGGCCUAUCAGCUUGUUGGUGGGGUAAUGGCCUACCAAGGCGGCGACGGGUAGCCGGCCUGAGAGGGUGUACGGCCACAUUGGGACUGAGAUACGGCCCAA